rnacentral:rRNA from 1 species
UACGAGGGGGCGAGCGUUGUUCGGAAUUAUUGGGCGUAAAGGGCGCGUAGGCGGCGUUUUAAGUCGGGGGUGAAAGCCUGUGGCUCAACCACAGAAUGGCCUCGAUACUGGGACGCUUGAGUAUGGUAGAGGUUGGUGGAACUGCGAGUGUAGAGGUGAAAUUCGUAGAUAUUCGCAAGAACACCGGUGGCGAAGGCGGCCAACUGGACCAUUACUGACGCUGAGGCGCGAAAGCGUGGGGAGCAAACAGG